rnacentral:lncRNA from 1 species
UCUAAAUCUCUACUAUUACUAGUGUGUAUCUAAUCUAUAAAUUGACAUGACCAUAAACAAGCUGACAUUAAAUUAACACGAGCCAGAUUUCAUUUUCUCAAUUAACCACUACACAUUGACUGUUUUAGUCCUUCACACAUCAAUUGGAGCUCGAAAAAUACCUGCAUUUGAAAUAGAGCAAGAGGAACUAGAGGUCAGCAGCAACAAUUUGAUGAUUACAACAACUCAGAAAAUAGAAGCAGUAGUGCAGGAG